CUUUAAGUAUCAAUGCUUCAAUACCUUUGCCAGAGUUACAUGGCUAGGAAGUAUCUGAAGUAGGAUUUGGACCCAGGUUCUUCCAACUCCCAGUCUGACUUUAUAGCCACUGAGCUCCCUAAAUGCCCUCCCCUUUUUUCGGACUUAUUUCACAGAUGAGGAAACUGAAGUUAAGUGACUUGCUCAGGGACACACAGCUAGCAAGUAUCUGAGGCCAGAUUUGAACUCAGGAAGAUGAGUCAUCCUGGCCCCGGGCCCAACAGUCCAUCUACUGCACCCUCCAGCCGCCCUUUUGAUGUCACAGAUGCUUCCUUAUAAACACCCAAACAAACCCUCUUACGAAGUACAUUCCUGGAAACAUACAAUAAAGUGGUCUAGUACAAAAGGAGGAGCCUGCAGGAGUACAGAAGUCUUCUGGAGAGAGGAGGCCAAAGGCAUGUCAGGACCCAUCAAAUUUGAAUGACUUAAAGACUUUAGGGGGAUUGGGGUAAUUGUUGUGUUGUCAAAAUUUGCCAAGGGUAGACUGCCUACCUUUCUCUGGCAAAAGUGUCAAUGCACCAGGCAUUGAGGAUUGCCCCCAAAUGCCAAUUGCCUGAACCUGUUCUCCUAGACUUUCUCAUCAUUAGUGACAGAGUCCAACCCCAUAUAGAUAGCAUUACCCAUUUGUUCAUUUAUUUGGUCAGUGACGUCUAGUCUUGACCAAAAGUGUACAUGUGUGUGUGGGUGUCAACAUGGAUCCUAGAAGCCCCCAAAUUUGUGGUUUAGAAAGAUUUAGUGAUCCCCAGUUUAUUUAGCUUGGAGGUAGAAAUCCCAGGUUUGACCUUGUCUGUGACAGGAGAGUUCCUCCCUAAGGGAAAGUCCUUCUUCACUGACCUCACUUAACAAUAGACUUUAAGAUGUUAAGUAUUUCCUUUGUCCCAGUGGUUUCUCCCCUUAGGCCAAAGUCCUUUACCUAGGUGGCCCAGCCCUGGACUGGGUCUUUCCCUUUUGUGUCCAUUAUAAAGCAUCAGCCCCUCACUCUUAUUCCUGUUUGGAACCCCUCAUAUUCCUUUGUUACCAUUAUAAAUUCAAUUAACUGUCCCUCUCAUUCUCUGGGCCCCCAUGUUUCUUGGAAUUGUCCAGUCUAGUGAGUUGGCUUUCCCUGGGGUCAGUGUCCAGAACUACCAGAGUUCAAUCCUCUGUGUAGGCAUGUGGUGCUCUGCUCUGUGUAGAGGCCUACUAUGGCAUUCAACCCCUUUCCCUUGAUUAAAAAGUGGUUUUUCUGACU
rnacentral:lncRNA from 1 species